ACUCAAAUGAAUUGACGGGGACCCGCACAAGCGGUGGAUGAUGUGGAUUAAUUCGAUGCAACGCGAACAACCUUACCUACCCUUGACAUGUCCGGAAGGCCCCUGAGAGGGGGCUGUGCCUGAAAGGGAACUGGAACACAGGUGCUGCAUGGCUGUCGUCAGCUCGUGUCGUGAGAUGUUGGGUUAAGUCCCGCAACGAGCGCAACCCUUGUCCAUAGUUGCUACGCAAGGGCACUCUAUGGAGACUGCCGGUGACAAACCGGAGGAAGGUGGGGAUGACGUCAAGUCCUCAUGGCCCUUAUGGGUAGGGCUUCACACGUCAUACAAUGGACGGUACAGAGGGUCGCCAACCCGCGAGGGGGAGCCAAUCCCAGAAAGCCGUUCGUAGUCCGGAUUGCAGUCUGCAACUCGACUGCAUGAAGUCGGAAUCGCUAGUAAUCGCGGAUCAGCAUGUCGCGGUGAAUACGUUCCCGGGUCUUGCACACACCGCCCGU
rnacentral:rRNA from 1 species